UACGAAGGGGGCUAGCGUUGCUCGGAAUCACUGGGCGUAAAGCGCACGUAGGCGGAUCUUUAAGUCAGGGGUGAAAUCCUGGAGCUCAACUCCAGAACUGCCUUUGAUACUGGGGAUCUCGAGUCCGGGAGAGGUGAGUGGAACUCCGAGUGUAGAGGUGAAAUUCGUAGAUAUUCGGAAAGAACACCAGUGGCGAAGGCGGCUCACUGGCCCGGUACUGACGCUGAGGUGCGAAAGCGUGGGGAGCAACAGG
rnacentral:rRNA from 1 species